rnacentral:ncRNA from 2 species
CUCUAGGUGACAGGUGCUGGUGUCCAAGGGCUACCUUGGACGAAGAGGGAAUGCGAGGGGGACAAUUUUCGUACGAAAAUUGUGUCUGACGCAGCCGCCCCCGCGACCGUGACCGAAGAGGCCGCUAGACGCCACUGGGCAUCGCCCGGGAAGGCAGCGGCCGGGCCAGAUAGGCACUUCGCAAGCCGGGAGACCUGCCAGCGAACGAGACACGGA